CAAAUACUUCCUCCGCCUCAAAAAGCUUGUCUUAGAUUUGUCUACAUACAAAUGUAUUUAGACACUUUUUAGUGUUAGAUACAUUUGUAUCUAUAUAAAAUCUAAGACAAGCUUUUUAGGAUGAAGGUAAUGCUCA
rnacentral:pre_miRNA from 1 species